rnacentral:rRNA from 1 species
AUGAACGCUGGCGGCGUGCCUAAUACAUGCAAGUCGAGCGGGAUUUAGUAGACAGAAGCCUCGGUGGAAGAUUACUAAUGAGAGUGGCGAACGGGUGAGUAACGCGUGAGCAACCUGCCUAUGACAGUGGGAUAGCCUCGGGAAACCGGGAUUAAUACCGCAUAAAAUCGUAGAAACACAUGUUUCAACGGUCAAAGAUUUAUCGGUCAUAGAUGGGCUCGCGUCUGAUUAGCUAGUUGGUGAGAUAACAGCCCACCAAGGCGACGAUCAGCAGCCG